rnacentral:rRNA from 1 species
GAGUGAACGCUGGCGGUAGGCCUAACACAUGCAAGUCGAACGGCAGCACAGUAAGAGCUUGCUCUUAUGGGUGGCGAGUGGCGGACGGGUGAGGAAUACAUCGGAAUCUACCUUUUCGUGGGGGAUAACGUAGGGAAACUUACGCUAAUACCGCAUACGACCUUCGGGUGAAAGCAGGGGACCUUCGGGCCUUGCGCGGAUAGAUGAGCCGAUGUCGGAUUAGCUAGUUGGCGGGGUAAAGGCCCACCAAGGCGACGAUCCGUAGCUGGUCUGAGAGGAUGAUCAGCCACACUGGAACUGAGACACGGUCCAGACUCCUACGGGAGGCAGCAGUGGGGAAUAUUGGACAAUGGGCGCAAGCCUGAUCCAGCCAUACCGCGUGGGUGAAGAAGGCCUUCGGGUUGUAAAGCCCUUUUGUUGGNAAAGAAAAGCAGCCAGCUAAUACCUGGUUGUUCUGACGGU